rnacentral:rRNA from 1 species
UACGUAGGGAGCAAGCGUUGUCCGGAAUCAUUGGGCGUAAAGCGCGCGUAGGUGGCCUCAUAAGUCCGUUGUGAAAGUCAAAGGCUCAACCUUUGAAAGCCGAUGGAUACUGUGAGACUAGAGUACGGAAGAGGCGAGUGGAAUUCCUGGUGUAGCGGUGGAAUGCGCAGAUAUCAGGAGGAACACCAAUGGCGAAGGCAGCUCGCUGGGACGGUACUGACGCUGAGGCGCGAAAGCGUGGGGAGCAAACAGG